AGAACGCUGAAGAGAGGAGCUUGCUCUUCUUGGAUGAGUUGCGAACGGGUGAGUAACGCGUAGGUAACCUGCCUUGUAGCGGGGGAUAACUAUUGGAAACGAUAGCUAAUACCGCAUAACAAUGGAUGACAUCAUGUCAUUUAUUUGAAAGGGGCAAUUGCUCCACUACAAGAUGGACCUGCGUUGUAUUAGCUAGUAGGUGAGGUAACGGCUCACCUAGGCGACGAUACAUAGCCGACCUGAGAGGGUGAUCGGCCACACUGGGACUGAGACACGGCCCAGACUCCUACGGGAGGCAGCAGUAGGGAAUCUUCGGCAAUGGGGGCAACCCUGACCGAGCAACGCCGCGUGAGUGAAGAAGGUUUUCGGAUCGUAAAGCUCUGUUGUAAGUCAAGAACGAGUGUGAGAGUGGAAAGUUCACACUGUGACGGUAGCUUACCAGAAAGGGACGGCUAACUACGUGCCAGCAGCCGCGGUAAUACGUAGGUCCCGAGCGUUGUCCGGAUUUAUUGGGCGUAAAGCGAGCGCAGGCGGUUUGAUAAGUCUGAAGUUAAAGGCUGUGGCUCAACCAUAGUUCGCUUUGGAAACUGUCAAACUUGAGUGCAGAAGGGGAGAGUGGAAUUCCAUGUGUAGCGGUGAAAUGCGUAGAUAUAUGGAGGAACACCGGUGGCGAAAGCGGCUCUCUGGUCUGUAACUGACGCUGAGGCUCGAAAGCGUGGGGAGCGAACAGGAUUAGAUACCCUGGUAGUCCACGCCGUAAACGAUGAGUGCUAGGUGUUGGAUCCUUUCCGGGAUUCAGUGCCGCAGCUAACGCAUUAAGCACUCCGCCUGGGGAGUACGACCGCAAGGUUGAAACUCAAAGGAAUUGACGGGGGCCCGCACAAGCGGUGGAGCAUGUGGUUUAAUUCGAAGCAACGCGAAGAACCUUACCAGGUCUUGACAUCCCGAUGCUAUUUCUAGAGAUAGAAAGUUACUUCGGUACAUCGGUGACAGGUGGUGCAUGGUUGUCGUCAGCUCGUGUCGUGAGAUGUUGGGUUAAGUCCCGCAACGAGCGCAACCCCUAUUGUUAGUUGCCAUCAUUCAGUUGGGCACUCUAGCGAGACUGCCGGUAAUAAACCGGAGGAAGGUGGGGAUGACGUCAAAUCAUCAUGCCCCUUAUGACCUGGGCUACACACGUGCUACAAUGGUUGGUACAACGAGUUGCGAGUCGGUGACGGCAAGCUAAUCUCUUAAAGCCAAUCUCAGUUCGGAUUGUAGGCUGCAACUCGCCUACAUGAAGUCGGAAUCGCUAGUAAUCGCGGAUCAGCACGCCGCGGUGAAUACGUUCCCGGGCCUUGUACACACCGCCCGUCACACCACGAGAGUUUGUAACACCCGAAGUCGGUGAGGUAACCUUUUGGAGCCAGCCGCCUAAGGUGGGAUAGA
rnacentral:rRNA from 1 species